GGAAAAGGUGAAUCAAUUAUUGUUGCCAUUAAAAAACUCAAUAGAGAUGGUUAUCAGGGUCAUAAACAAUGGGUAGCAGAAGUGCAAUUUCUGGGGGUGGUAGAUCACCCAAAUCUCGUCAAACUAAUUGGAUAUUGUGCUGUUGAUGGGGAAAGAGGUAUUCAGAGGCUACUCGUGUAUGAAUUCAUGUCAAAUAGAAGUCUAGAAGAUCAUCUUUUCAAUACAGCAUUUCCAGUUCUUUCUUGGCAAAGAAGACUGCAAAUGGCGCUUGGAGCAGCUCAGGGUCUGGCUUAUUUGCAUGAAGAAUUGGAAGUUCAGCUCUCUGCUUUACUUUCUGACAUAGGGAUUAAUAUCCGAGAAGCUCAUGUUUUCUCAACAAUUGAUGGGUACUCAUUAGAUGUAUUUGUGGUGGAUGGA
rnacentral:misc_RNA from 1 species